GACGAACGCUGGCGGCGUGCUUAACACAUGCAAGUCGAACGGAAAGGCCCUGCUUGCAGGGUACUCGAGUGGCGAACGGGUGAGUAACACGUGGGUGAUCUGCCCUGCACUUCGGGAUAAGCCUGGGAAACUGGGUCUAAUACCGGAUAGGAGCCAUUUUUAGUGUGAUGGUUGGAAAGUUUUUUCGGUGUAGGAUGAGCUCGCGGCCUAUCGGCUUGUUGGUGGGGUAAUGGCCUACCAAGGCGGCGACGGGUAGCCGGCCUGAGAGGGUGGACGGCCACAUUGGGACUGAGAUACGGCCCAGACUCCUACGGGAGGCAGCAGUGGGGAAUAUUGCACAAUGGGCGCAAGCCUGAUGCAGCGACGCCGCGUGGGGGAUGACGGCCUUCGGGUUGUAAACUCCUUUCGCUAGGGACGAAGCUUUUUGUGACGGUACCUAGAUAAGAAGCACCGGCUAACUACGUG
rnacentral:rRNA from 1 species